UGCUUCAGGUCCUUCUUCUUCAAACGACUGAUCUCCGUAUAGCUUUCCUGUUCCCCUAUCGCUCGUCGACGGUGGCGGCUGCACAGAUCUGGUGGACGACGACUACUCCCUGGGCAGUUGCUCCCUGCCUCCUCCCACUCCCACUCCGGCUUCCAGGUCUCUUGGCUCCAUCUACCGCGCAUCCCGACACGCGCUGCACAUCCUCGUCAGGGACCGGGCCGCCGCCGCCACGGUCUCCUCCACCCCGAUGACCUCGGGCUCCCCACCCGCUCAGCUGCCCAUUUGUACCUUUCCGGAGCCAAGCUGGUAGUGGUCGAGUGGGCGGUGGUGCCUCCACGGUCGCCUCCUCCCCGGUACUCCUAGAUCCAGCAGUAUCUCACCGUAGGCAAGCUGGUGGUGCUCGAUCUGCUCGCCUUCUUUGCCUCGCAGGCUCAGCAUCAAGUACGAGCGGACGCAUCGCCGGACGAAGCCACGGGCAACGGGACGAGGCAUCGGCGACACUGACUGCGGGAUUGACACUGUCUCCGCAGGUCCCUGAUGUGGGUGCACCGCACUGCUUGGCGGUGCAUGGCCGGAGCUCCCGCCGACCAUCAGGUUGAGGCGGCGAGGAGCAGUGGCAUGUAGACUGAAUCAGGCGGAGAGCGCAGGCACUCGAAGACGCGGCUCCUGAAUGAUGGCUUGACCACGGCGGUCGACAAUCUGAAAAUAUCACUGGUAAAAUACUGGUUUCUUCUAUAGGAUAAUAAAAUACACCGGUAAACUAUUUACAGGCGUAUACAAGGCCUCCAAUCGGGGUCUUAAGGAGGUAAAGAAUUCUACUUGCUGUUGAACCCUCGCUGAUUCUCCACAGAAAAACUUGUAAGGAUCUGAACUUGUUGAGUGAAAUUAUGGUUGAAGCAAGAUUUUUUUUAGAAUCUCUAGUCUCUAAAUACAAGAGCAGAAAAUGGUUCUCUUCCAUGUAUUUGACUCAUGUUUUUUGCUUUGGAUCUGUGUGCGGACUUGCCUUUGUGCCGUCGUAAUAUAUUUAUUUGUUUGUUGCUGUUAGAGUUUCAAUUUUCUUUUUUUAGAACCAAAAUUCGUGGGCAGCAAUAAGAAAGUGCUGGCAUUGCAAUGUCAUAUCGGUGCUCCAGAGAAGUGUUCCUUUUAAGUUUUAACCAUGCAUUUUUAAAAGUAAUACUUGGUGACCAAUGUAAUCAAUCAGAAUAACAACUUCAGUGUAAUGAAGGAUAAAGCAUUUUUACUUUCAGCUCCUCCCCGUGCUUGUGAUGGAUUGGUCCAUUAUCUGUUAAUCUCUGCAUAACAAAAUGAAGGACUGGAUGCUAAGCUUAACAUUACCAUCUCUCUAGUUAGACAAUCACAGUGGUAAAAAUAAUUUGGGGAAUAACAAUAUUUUUUGUGCUAGCAGCGAGCAGAUAUGUUCCUACUAGUACAAUGUAUUCUUGAUGCAUAUUCAUUUGAUUAGCUCAUGAGCAAAUACUUUAGGUGCCCUUGCACGUCUUGUACUCAAACUGAAUGAUUUGUUUGGUGUCAUCUUUUCCAGAACAUGAAGACUGAAUAGCAAGAAGCACUAUAACUAGAGGCAAAAAGGGAAUAUUUUCAAGAUAACAAACCCGAUGCAAGUUUUGGUAGCAAUGUUUAUUCAGUGGGCAUCAUUUCAGUCCUUCAUUCUCGGGCUCGCUGUUCAUGUACUACAAAAUGACCAUGUCAUGUUUUAUACCACUUGAUGUGUGUGUGUGUGUGUGUGUGUGUGUGUGUGUGUCUUGUCUACCCGAAUUAAGAUACAAGACAUGCACUCAAAUAUUUCUGCCCAGGAUAAUCCACUUAGACAUGUAUUCAGAAAUUUGUGCUUGACAUGUACUCUCAUAUUUGUGUUUGGGGUGGUCCAGCAUGGGAUGAACUAGGAACAGAUUGGCUUAACCAUAUUAAGUUUUCUUGCAUAAUCGGUGAUCUAGUACAAGCAACUAUUGUACAAUUUGGGCAUCGACGAUGUGAACAUUUGAAAUUGGGAUAAAAUGAUUGGAUAAGAGAAA